rnacentral:misc_RNA from 1 species
GCCUUGACACAAGUAAUAACCAAAUCGAUACCAAACCUCUGAAGCUGCCAGUCGUCGAUUUGCUCUAAAAAGCUUCACAAUAAACAGUAGGGGAAGCUGACUGUAACAUACAGAGCAACCCCACAGAAACCCUAUAAUAAAAAGCUCCAUCCAAAAGAGUGUUAUUAAGACUCCAAAGCUAGAGACUAAAACAAACUAGGAAAAAC